UCAAGUGAAGAAGCGCAUACGGUGGAUGCCUUGGCAGUCAGAGGCGAUGAAAGACGUGGUAGCCUGCGAAAAGCUUCGGGGAGUCGGCAAACAGACUUUGAUCCGGAGAUCUCUGAAUGGGGGAACCCAGCCAUCAUAAGAUGGUUAUCACACACUGAAUACAUAGGUGUGUGAGGCGAACCAGGGGAACUGAAACAUCUAAGUACCCUGAGGAAAAGAAAUCAACCGAGAUUCCCUUAGUAGUGGCGAGCGAACGGGGACUAGCCCUUAAGCUUCUUUGAUUUUAGCGGAACGCUCUGGAAAGUGCGGCCAUAGUGGGUGAUAGCCCUGUACGCGAAAGGAUCUUAGAAGUGAAAUCGAGUAGGACGGAGCACGAGAAACUUUGUCUGAAUAUGGGGGGACCAUCCUCCAAGGCUAAAUACUACUGACUGACCGAUAGUGAACCAGUACCGUGAGGGAAAGGCGAAAAGAACCCCGGAGAGGGGAGUGAAAUAGAACCUGAAACCGUGUGCGUACAAGCAGUGGGAGCAGACUUGUUCUGUGACUGCGUACCUUUUGUAUAAUGGGUCAGCGACUUAAGGUCUGUAGCAAGCUUAACCGUUUAGGGGAGGCGUAGGGAAACCGAGUCUUAAUAGGGCGAAUUAGUUGCAGGCUUUAGACCCGAAACCCGGCGAUCUAGGCAUGACCAGGAUGAAGGUGCAGUAACAUGCACUGGAGGUCCGAACCGA
rnacentral:rRNA from 1 species